AACGAGAAGAGGAAACUGGGAAAGAGAUUGGUGACUAGUGUUCCCCAGCGGCUAGGAGGGGAACUGCUAGGACCUGCAAAACUGCCCUCUCCUGGGCCUGGUGUCUCCCGGGUAAACUCUGCAUCCAACCUGGAGCUUGAACUCAUGACCACAGAUCAAGGGGCACAUGCCCUACCAACUAAGCCAUCCAGGAGCCCCCACAAUUCUUUUCAACAAAUGUUUAUGGAGCAUCUUUUGCAAGCCAUCCCUAAAAGGGACACUGGAGCUACAGAAUGAAAUCAGUCAAACCUUCUGCCUGCAGGAAGCUCACUGUCUUAGAGGAGAAACAGCGAAACCCGCAAUCACGGGACCCCAGGAAAAGUGCUGGUUGAGCCAGCCACCGUUUCUGUGCUCCGGGAAUAGGACAGAGCUCUGGGGUCAGGGAAGACUUCUGGGGUGAGAUCACCCUUGGCUGAGUUUUGGAGAAUGUUAAAAUUAGCUCCACGAAGCAGUGGGAAAAGCUGGAGGGGAGGCUUGGAGGUGUGAGGCAGCAUGAUGCACUGUCUCCAGGAGCCAGGUCCUGGUGGCUGUAGUGAAGACACCUUCAGAGAAAAGCCCAUGGGGCUCCGGGGCUGGGCUGAAUUUGACUUGGUGGCUGAAAGUUACAGCCGAAGCCUUCCUACUUUGCCUUCCUUUCUGAUCUUCACGGACUCACCUUAACUCUCUCUCCUUGUUCUUAGGAGUUUCCUUAACCCCCUCUUCUUAAGGUCUCGCCUAACCUCUUCCUCUCUUCCCACAAAGGCCUGUUCUGUUUCCUCUUCCUCCCCAUCACUCACUGCUGACACCCUUCCCUCCAAGGCUUCCUUACCACCACCCUCCCUCAGCCGC